GGGGAUGUAAAGGUUUCGACGGGGGAGGGGAGCCCUGGUAAGCGAGCAGCGGCGCGGGACCGCUUUGCCACCCGCAACCUUAAAAUCAAACGACAACGAACCUGUUGCUGUUGCUGCCUAACUAAGGCGGCCGUUUCGUCCCGGAGUACCGCGGCCGGGAACGAAGCGUGGAUGAGCGGUGAACGUGAACGGGGCCACGCCCUUACCCCCGUCAUGACUUAAGGGCUACCAAAGCCAGAAGCCUGCUUUUGGGCGCCUGGCGGCGGGAAGCUUAAAGCAAAAGCUACGCUCGUAGAAAGCCCCGGUGACCCUCUUUCGGACGCGGGUUCGAUUCCCGCCAUCUCCACCA
rnacentral:tmRNA from 2 species